ACGCUCGACACCUACGGGAGGCNGCAGUGGGGAAUAUUGCACAAUGGGGGAAACCCUGAUGCAGCGACGCCGCGUGAGCGAAGAAGUAUUUCGGUAUGUAAAGCUCUAUCAGCAGGGAAGAAACUGACGGUACCUGACUAAGAAGCACCGGCUAAAUACGUGCCAGCAGCUGCGGUAAUCUGAGCGGGCUGGCAAGGC
rnacentral:rRNA from 1 species